GACGAACGCUGGCGGCGUGCCUAAUACAUGCAAGUCGAACGCACUUUCGUUAGAUUGAAGAAGCUUGCUUCUGAUUGAUAACAUUUGAGUGAGUGGCGGACGGGUGAGUAACACGUGGGUAACCUGCCCUAAAGUGGGGGAUAACAUUUGGAAACAGAUGCUAAUACCGCAUAAACCUAGCACCGCAUGGUGCAAGGUUGAAAGAUGGUUUCGGCUAAUCACUUUAGGAUGGACCCGCGGUGCAUUAGUUAGUUGGUGAGGUAAAGGCUCACCAAGACCGUGAUGCAUAGCCGACCUGAGAGGGUAAUCGGCCACACUGGGACUGAGACACGGCCCAGACUCCUACGGGAGGCAGCAGUAGGGAAUCUUCCACAAUGGACGAAAGGUCUGAUGGAGCAACGCCGCGUGAGUGAAGAAGGUUUUCGGAGUCGUAAAACUCUGUUGUUGGAGGAAGAACGUAUUUGAUAGUAACUGAUCAGGUAGUGACGGUAUCCAACCAGAAAGACCACGGA
rnacentral:rRNA from 1 species